CCAGCAACUGUGGACUGAUCGUAAGGCGAUCACACCCCGUCAGCGCCAACACCUGUGCCGCAGUUCGAAACGAGGCGCCAUCACAAUGGUGCUGACUCCGUGAUGUUUAUAGAGCCGAUGAAUCCGCUGUACAGAUAACACGCCGGAUCACUGUCGGCAUUGACCGGUGUCUCACCGCGUGCCACAUACCAAUCAUAGAU
rnacentral:rRNA from 1 species